rnacentral:tRNA from 1 species
GGGCGCUUGGUCUAGGGGUAUGAUUUUCGCUUCGCAUAAGCAAACGUGCGUAAUUUGUGAAAGGUCGUGGGUUCAAUUCCCACAGCGUCCA